rnacentral:rRNA from 1 species
UACGUAGGGCGCAAGCGUUGUCCGGAAUUAUUGGGCGUAAAGAGCUCGUAGGCGGCUUGUUGCGUCGGAUGUGAAAGCCCGGGGCUUAACCCCGGGUCUGCAUUCGAUACGGGCAGGCUAGAGUUCGGUAGGGGAGAUCGGAAUUCCUGGUGUAGCGGUGAAAUGCGCAGAUAUCAGGAGGAACACCGGAGGCGAAGGCGGCUUGCUGGGCGUGAUCUGACGCUGAGGCGCGAAAGCGUGGGGAGCGAACAGG